CGCGGCCUAUCAGCUUGUUGGUGGGGUGAUGGCCUACCAAGGCUUCGACGGGUAGCCGGCCUGAGAGGGCGUCCGGCCACACUGGGACUGAGACACGGCCCAGACUCCUACGGGAGGCAGCAGUGGGGAAUAUUGCGCAAUGGGCGGAAGCCUGACGCAGCGACGCCGCGUGGGGGAUGACGGCCUUCGGGUUGUAAACCUCUUUCGACUUCGACGAAGCUUUUUGGGGUGACGGUAGGGGUGGAAGAAGCACCGGCCAACUACGUGCCAGCAGCCGCGGUAAUACGUAGGGUGCGAGCGUUGUCCGGAAUUAUUGGGCGUAAAGAGCUCGUAGGCGGUGUGUCACGUCGGCCGUGAAAACCUGCAGCUUAACUGUGGGCGUGCGGUCGAUACGGGCAUCACUGGAGUUCGGCAGGGGAGACUGGAAUUCCUGGUGUAGCGGUGAAAUGCGCAGAUAUCAGGAGGAACACCGGUGGCGAAGGCGGGUCUCUGGGCCGAUACUGACGCUGAGGAGCGAAAGCGUGGGGAGCGAACAGGAUUAGAUACCCUGGUAGUCCACGCCGUAAACGGUGGGCACUAGGUGUGGGGGCCAUUCCACGGUCUCUGUGCCGCAGCUAACGCAUUAGGUGCCCCGCCUGGGGAGUACGG
rnacentral:rRNA from 1 species